GUUGAUCAAUGAUGAUUCCUGUAUGAGUUGUUGACUGCUGGAUGAAACUUGCGGAUAUGGGACUGAGAUCAUGC
ensembl:snoRNA